AAUCCAUGGUGUGGGCAACACCGAAACAAGUCCUUGUACCUCUCCUAGGCAUCAUACAUGCUCUCGUCUUCGAACUGCACAAAAGAAGAUAUAUCAUUUCUCAAUUU
rfam:Ricinus communis cultivar Hale ctg_1100012360601, whole genome shotgun sequence.